rnacentral:rRNA from 1 species
UACGGAGGAUCCGAGCGUUAUCCGGAUUUAUUGGGUUUAAAGGGUGCGCAGGCGGGAGAUUAAGUCGGCGGUGAAAUUUUGCAGCUCAACUGUAAAAGUGCCUUCGAAACUGGUUUCCUCGAGUGUAGAUGAAGUAGGCGGAAUUUGUGGUGUAGCGGUGAAAUGCAUAGAUAUCACGAGGAACUCCGAUUGCGCAGGCAGCUUACUAAACUACUACUGACGCUCAGGCACGAAGGCGUGGGGAUCAAACAGGAUUAGAUACCCGGGUAGU